rnacentral:rRNA from 1 species
GGAUUAGAUACCCUGGUAGUCCACGCCGUAAACGAUGUCUAUUAGCCGUUGGGUCUGUUACGGACUUGGUGGCGCAGCUAACGCGAUAAAUAGACCGCCUGGGGAGUACGGCCGCAAGGUUAAAACUCAAAUGAAUUGACGGGGGCCCGCACAAGCGGUGGAGCAUGUGGUUUAAUUCGAAGCAACGCGAAGAACCUUACCUACUCUUGAAAUCCAGUGAACUUAGCAGAGAUGCUUUGGUGCCUUCGGGAACACUGAGACAGGUGCUGCAUGGCUGUCGUCAGCUCGUGCCG